rnacentral:lncRNA from 1 species
UCUCCUUCUUUGGUAUCUAGUCGUUUAUACAUAUCGUCGUAGGCCGCUAACUUAGCUUCUCUGACAGCUUUUUUUCGCCUCUUGCUUCGCUUUUCUAUACUUUUCACCAUUUUCAUCGGUCCUCUCCUUGUAUAAGGCUUUACAACAUUCCUUCUUAGCCUUCACCUUUGUUUGUACCUCCUCAUUCCACCACCAAGAUUCCUUUUGGUGUGGGGCAAAGCCCUUGGACUCUCCUAAUACCUCUUUUGCUACUUUUCGGAUACAACUAG